rnacentral:rRNA from 1 species
UACGGGGGGAGCAAGCGUUGUUCGGAUUUACUGGGCGUAAAGGGCGCGUAGGCGGCUUGACAAGUCACUUGUGAAAUCUCCGGGCUUAACUCGGAACGGCCAAGUGAAACUGUCAUGCUAGAGUGCAGAAGGGGCAAUCGGAAUUCUUGAUGUAGCGGUGAAAUGCGUAGAUAUCAAGAGGAACACCUGAGGUGAAGACGGGUUGCUGGGCUGACACUGACGCUGAGGCGCGAAAGCCAGGGGAGCAAACGGG